rnacentral:rRNA from 1 species
UAACUGGUCUGAGAGGAUGAUCAGUCACACUGGGACUGAGACACGGCCCAUACUCCUACGGGAGGCAGCAGUGAGGAAUCUUCCACAAUGGACGAAAGUCUGAUGGAGCGACACCGCGUGAAGGAAGAAGGCCUAACGGUUGUAAACUUCUUUUCUGAAGGAGCAUAAUGAGAGUACUUUAGGAAUAAGGGACGGCUAAAUACGUGCCAGCAGCCGCGGUAAUACGUAUGUCUCGAGCGUUACCCGGAAUAACUGGGUGUAAAGGGUUUGUAGGUUGAUGGUUAAGUCAGAUAUGAAAGACCGAAGCUUAACUUCGAGUUAGUAUUUGAAACUGGCUAUCUAGAAUCAGGGAGAGGUAAGCGGAAUUCUAAGUGUAGGGGUGCAAUCCGUAGAUACUUAGAGGAACACCAAAAGCGAAGGCAGCUUACUGGAACUGAAUUGACACUGAAAAACGAAAGCGUGGGGAGCGAAAAGGAUUAGAUACCCUUGUAGUCCACGCCCUAAACGAUGACAACUAAGUGUUGCGACUAGCUCGCAGUGCUGUAGCAAACGCGUUAAGUUGUCCACCUGAGGAGUACGGUCGCAAGAUUAAAACUCAAAGGAAUAGACGGGGACCCACACAAGCAGUGGAUCACGUGGUUUAAUUCGAUAAUAAACGGGGAACCUUACCCAGACUUGACAUCCUAGGAAUGCACCAGAGAUGGAGCAGUGCUCGCAAGAGAACCUAGAGACAGGUGCUGCAUGGUUGUCGUCAGCUCGUGCCUUGAGGUGUUCGGUUAAGUCCGUUAACGAGCGCAACCCAUGUCCUUAGUUAAACUGUCUAAGGAGACUGCCUUGGUUAACAAGGAGGAAGGUGUGGAUGACGUCAAAUCAGCAUGGCUUUUACGUCUGGGGCUACACACAUGAUACAAUGGUGUAAACAAAGAGUAGUGAAUCCGCGAGGAGGAACCAAUCUUGAAAAUACAUCUCAGUCCGGAUUGGAGUCUGCAACUCGACUCCAUGAAGUUGGAAUUGCUAGUAAUCGUAAAUCAGAUAUGUUACGGUGAAUAUGUUCCUGGGUCUUGUACUCACCGCCCGUCAAGGCAUGGGAGGUAGUAAUAUCGGAAGUCCCCCUAGUAAUAAGGGGGCCCAUGGUAGAACUACUGACUGGGCUUAAGUCGUAACAAGGUAUCCGUAGGUGAACCUGCGGAUG